CGUCCUGGCUGACCACAGCACAGCCUGAAGCCAUCGGAGUGUCUGACAACUGGGCUCAGAAGUGCCCCCAGGCACGGAGACCUGGUCGCAGCCACCAGCCACCUGGACCAUGCCCCCUCUGCCGGGGACACGUGUACUGGAAGCAGACCUGCCCACUACUGGAGGCGAGCGCCGACCCUGAGGCUGGCCAGUUCCCAGCUGUUGGCGCGUCUGAGAGCCGACUGACAGGGCCCAGGGAACGGCUGGGCCCCUGCAGGAACCAUCUCCAUGCCCGAACCCAGGGAGGACACUCCCUCACAGUACACCUGUGACCGAAUUGGCGACCUCUGCCUCAGGCUCUGCAGGUAAGAGCACCAACCCAUGGGACAGAAGUCAACUGAGGAACCUGAGGGGGAUGCUGCCCACAUCUUACAAGCUCUACGAGAAAUCACCCCGACCAUGACACCACCACCAUCUCGCCGUCGAGCUCACAGCUGGUUUGCGGUAUACCCAUACGACCCAGAACACAUCUAGUUAUGAGUUCAUCGCCCACUGUCAGCAUGAAGCCGCUCCAGAAGACGGACUAUCGACCCUCAGCAAGCCCUUAGGAGUAAGGGUCAUAUGUCUUUGAGGGGGGAAUGAUGCCCCCCCCCAUGCACCAUGGAAAGGUUGCAGAUAUUGUUUGAAUGUACGUGGU